CCUACGGGAGGCAGCAGUGGGGAAUUUUGCGCAAUGCUCGUAAGAGUGACGCAGCGACGCCGCGUGAAUGACGAAGGCCUUCGGGUCGUAAAGUUCUUUCGACAGGGAAGAAAAUGCCUAUAAGUAACUGUGUAUGUAUUGACGGUACCUGUAUAAGCAGCCCCGGCUAACUCCGUGCCAGCAGCCGCGGUAAUACGGAGGGGGCGAGCGUUGUUCGGAGGGACUGGGCGUAAAGAGCACGUAGGCGGUGUUGUAAGUCAUUAGUCAAAGACUAGAGCUCAACUUUAGUAAGGCUAGUGAUACUAUAAUACUAGAGUAGCAGAGAGGAUUGCAGAAGUCCGGGUGUAGCGGUGAAAUGCGUAGAUAUCAGGAGGAAUACCGUUAGCGAAGGCGGCAAUCUGGCUGGAAACUGACGCUGGGGUGCGAAAGCGUGGGUAGCAAACAGGAUUAGAUACCCGAGUAGU
rnacentral:rRNA from 1 species